rnacentral:rRNA from 1 species
GGCGUGCUUAGCACAUGCAAGNNNNAACGGAAAACAAUUAGUACUUGUACUAAGGUGUCGAGUGGCGAACGGGUGAGUAAUGUAUAGUUAAUUUGCCUCUUAGAAAGGGAUAGCCAUUGGAAACGAUGAUUAAUACCUUAUACUCCUUAUAUAGUAAAUAUAUAAGGGAAAUGUUUUUUCGCUAAGAGAUAAGACUAUAUGGUAUCAGAUAGUUGGUGGGGUAAGAGCCUACCAAGUCAAUGACGCCUAGCUGGUCUGAGAGGAUGAUCAGCCACACUGGAACUGAGACACGGUCCAGACUCCUACGGGAGGCAGCAGUGGGGAAUAUUGCACAAUGGACGCAAGUCUGAUGCAGCAACGCCGCGUGGAGGAUGACGCAUUUCGGUGUGUAAACUCCUUUUAUAUAGGAAGAUAAUGACGGUACUAUAUGAAUAAGCACCGGCUAACUCCGUGCCAGCAGCCGCGGGUAAUACGGAGGGGGGCAAGCGUUACUCCGGNAUCNCUGGGCCGU